UACGUAGGUGGCAAGCGUUGUCCGGAUUUAUUGGGUUUAAAGGGUGCGUAGGCGGCUUAUUAAGUCAGUGGUGAAAUACUCUAGCUCAACUAGAGGGGUGCCAUUGAUACUGAUGAGCUUGAGUACAGAUGAGGUAGGCGGAAUUGACGGUGUAGCGGUGAAAUGCUUAGAUAUCGUCAAGAACACCUAUAGCGAAGGCAGCUUACUAGGCUGUAACUGACGCUGAGGCACGAAAGUGUGGGGGAUCAAACAGGG
rnacentral:rRNA from 1 species